AAAAAGGCAAACCCUGAGUUUCCGUGUCCAACUUUGACUAUCCGUCUUAUAUGAAAUUUUUUUAUAAUUCGUAUUUUCGUUGUUGUUAUAUUAUAAAACAUGAUUAAUAUUUUAUGCGUGACUUAUCUUUUUAAUUUUUUUUCAUAUUUUUUUUAAAUAAGACGGACGGUCAAAUGUUGGGCACGGAAACCAGGGUUUGUCUUUUU
rnacentral:pre_miRNA from 1 species